AAAACUGUUUUCUAGGGUUCCGCGGAAGAAAUUCCGGCCUGGUCCGAGAGAAAACACACAGUCGUAUUAUGCUGUGACACGGAAGGAUAAAAGCCUGGGAGAU
rnacentral:sRNA from 2 species